CCUUAGGGUAAAACUAAGUUUCCUACCACCAUGCAUAAUACCUCCACUAGCUGUGCACAGGACAGCUGACAAUUGUUCCUUGCCUGGUGAUUGCCUGUAUCACCCACUAGAAUAUGAGUUGUAUUAAAAUGAAAACAACACCAGAAGCUGACACACAGAUUGGGAUGGAGAAAAAUAACAGACUUGGAGGAACAGAAACUUCUGCCUGCAAAGGACUGGGACAAAGAGGCAGAUAAAGACCAGCCACCUGCUUCCAGCAUUGCUCUCAUGGCCACUGGGAAUUCAACUUGAAGGCCUUGGAAAACAUUUCUGAUGACUCUGGAAUGGAGGAAAAGCCCAGUGGUUCUGGUUGGAUUUCAUGUAGAAAACCCUCCCCUUGUUUUAUAGAAGCCAGAGCAGGGACCAGUGGUGUUGUAUAGAGCUCCCCAGGGUUGCAGGUGAACUGAUGUGUCUAUUCGAGGUUACCUCUGGUCAUCUACAGCCUGAGAUUAAUGGGUCCCCAAUCCUAAUGCUGCAAUGGUAGUUAUCACGCCCAGAUUUUCAUCUUAAUCCGUAGAGAUGAGCACACAUCAAAAAGCUCAGCAGGCUGGCCCAGAUCGUUAUGAUAAUGAUUAAUAACAGGCUUGUAGACGGUGCUUCUGCCUGCACGGCUCACCAUUGCUUUUAUGCA
rnacentral:lncRNA from 1 species